rnacentral:misc_RNA from 1 species
AUCUUCUUUCAGUCAAAAUAGCUCAGUACACCAACAAAAUGUGGGCCAGAAUGAUGUAGCCAUGGAAUUGAUUAAUAAUGUUACUGGAGUGGAUGAGGAAGGGCGUUCUCGCCAGCGGAUUCUUUCCUUUGCUGCCAAGAGGUAUGCUAGCGCAAUAGAAAGAAAUUCACAAGACUAUGAUGCAUAUUACAAUUGGGCAUUGGUUCUUCA